UGGGGAAUAUUGGGCAAUGGAGGGAACUCUGACCCAGCCAUGCCGCGUGCAGGAUGAAGGCGUUAUGCGUUGUAAACUGCUUUUAUAUAGGAAGAAAUAGUCCUUGCGAGGAAAGUUGACGGUACUAUAUGAAUAAGCACCGGCUAACUCCGUGCCAGCAGCCGCGGUAAUACGGAGGGUGCAAGCGUUGUCCGGAUUUAUUGGGUUUAAAGGGUGCGUAGGCGGUUUAUUAAGUCAGUGGUGAAAGACGGUCGCUCAACGAUUGCAGUGCCAUUGAUACUGGUAGACUUGAGUAUGAUUGAGGUAGCUGGAAUGGAUAGUGUAGCGGUGAAAUGCAUAGAUAUUAUCCAGAACACCAAUUGCGUAGGCAAGUUACUAAGUCAUAACUGACGCUGAGGCACGAAAAGUGUGGGUAUCAAACAGGAUUAGAUACCCUUGUAGUCCCUGANCGGGCUGGCAAGGCGCAU
rnacentral:rRNA from 1 species